UGAAAGAUUUUAAAUAUCUUCUUCUGUAACGAGAAGUAUAACCUUUGAUUUUAACCUAAAAAAUUCUAAGAGCCUUAAACAUUAAAAGACCGAAAAAUGUUCAAUCCGCCUUUAAUUUUACUUUAUACCUGUAGAGAUGCCAUGAUUUGUUUAAAGCAUUUCAAACUAAAAGAAGUUUAUUAGGAAAAACAAUUGCUGAGAACAUAGUCAGUGAUUAGCUACUGUAAAAUCCAUUAGAAAAAUACAACCAGG
rnacentral:lncRNA from 1 species